CUACAAACAGAUCCAUAUUUCAUUUCCCUCUUCUCUCUCUUCUCUCUGGCGAUUCAAAAACCAGAUCUGCGAUUCCAGGGUCCUCCACAUCUUCUAAUUCUUCUUCUCUACUCCUCUUCCUUUCUUCUCUGGCGAUUCAAAAACCAGAUCUUCGAUUCCAGUUACUUUAUCAAAGAAGGAUCUUGAUUCGUCAUUUGUCGGUGGUUGUGAUGGAUCGAUUUAGGAGGGUGAUUCUGGUUUAGAUAUAAUAGGGUUCUAUCUCGGUGGUGUGGUGCGCUCGGGACUCGGGAGGCCAGAAGAGGGUUCGAAACGUAGGCUAAACCUAAAGAGCUCCCUUUGAACCAAUAACAGUUGAUCUGUUAAGCAAUCAUUGCUGAUAGAUGUUGGAACUAUGGAAAACAAGCUAGGGUUAAUGACUAUAAACUCGCCUAGAUUAAAUUCUAAAGUUUUAAACAAUGACUAUUGUGGUUGUAUUUGAUAUUUAUGGUUAUGCUGAUGUUUUAGACAAACUUGCAUGAAAUUUACUUAAUCUAUAUCGAAAUUAUUAGUGUUA